rnacentral:rRNA from 1 species
UACGUAGGGGGCAAGCGUUGUCCGGAAUCAUUGGGCGUAAAGCGCGUGUAGGCGGUCCGAUAAGUCGGCUGUGAAAGCCCAGGGCUCAACCCUGGGAUGCCGGUCGAUACUGCCGGACUAGAGUUCGGAAGAGGCGAGUGGAAUUCCCGGUGUAGCGGUGAAAUGCGCAGAUAUCGGGAGGAACACCUAUGGCGAAGGCAGCUCGCUGGGACGUUACUGACGCUGAGACGCGAAAGCGUGGGGAGCAAACAGG